CAUUUGGAGGUCAAUAUCGAACAGAUUCGUUAGUGGCUUUCAGAUUCGGACUUCAUUAACGUAGCGUCUCGCCGUAUGCCAUUACCGAGAUGACUACGUUUUUUU
rfam:Lactobacillus rossiae DSM 15814 Scaffold23, whole genome shotgun sequence.